rnacentral:rRNA from 1 species
UACGUAGGGUGCGAGCGUUGUCCGGAAUUACUGGGCGUAAAGAGCUCGUAGGUGGUUUGUCGCGUUGUUCGUGAAAACCGGAGGCUUAACCUUCGGCGUGCGGGCGAUACGGGCAGACUGGAGUACUGCAGGGGAGACUGGAAUUCCUGGUGGAGCGGUGGAAUGCGCAGAUAUCAGGAGGAACACCGGUGGCGAAGGCGGGUCUCUGGGCAGUAACUGACGCUGAGGAGCGAAAGCUUGUGGAGCGAACAGG